AUGGGACCUGUGGAGCCUAAGGUGACUGUGUAUCCUGCAAAGACCCAGCCCCUGCAGCACCACAACCUCCUGAUCUGCUCUGUGAGUGGGUUCUAUCCAGGCAGCAUUGAAGUCAGGUGGUUCCGGAAUGACCAGGAAGAGAGGCUGAGGUGGUGUUCACAGGCUUGAUCCAGAAUGGAGACUGGACCUUCCAGACCCUGGUGAUGCUGGAAACAGUUCCUCAGAGUGGAGAGGCUUACAUCUGCCAAGUGGAGCACCCAAGCGUAAUGAGCCCUCUCACAGUGCAAUGGAGAGCACAGUCUGAAUCUGCACAGAGCAAGAUGCUGAGCGGAGUCGGGGGCUUUGUUCUGGGCCUGCUCUUCCUUGGCACAGGGCUGUUCAUCUACUUCAGGAAUCAGAAAGGACACUCUGGACUUCAGCCAACAGGACUCUUGAGCUGAAGUGAAGAUGACCACAUUCAAGGAAGAACCUUCUGCCCCAGCUUUGCAGGAUUAAAAACUUUCCCACUUGGCUCUUAUUCUUCCACAAGAGAGAGCUUUCUCAGGACCUGGUUGCUAUUGGUUCAGCAACUCAGCAGAAAAUGACUCCUUUGUGGCUUCCUGAACUCCUGCCCUUGUCCUGAAGUCCCAGCAUUGAUGGCAGUGCCUCAUCUUCAAUUUUUAUGCUCCCCUUUACCUAACCCUUCAUGCCUCCCCUGCAUCUGUACUCACCCUGUGCCACAAACACAUUACAUUAUUACAUUUUUCUCAAACAUGGAGUUAAA